rnacentral:rRNA from 1 species
GAUGAACGCUGGCGGUAUGCUUAACACAUGCAAGUCGAACGGACUCUUCGGAGUUAGUGGCGGACGGGUGAGUAACGCGUGAGAAUCUGGCUUUGGGUUCGGGACAACCACUGGAAACGGUGGCUAAUACCGGAUGUGCCGAGAGGUAAAAGAGAAAUUGCCUGAAGAUGAGCUCGCGUCUGAUUAGCUAGUUGGUGAGGUAAAGGCUCACCAAGGCAGCGAUCAGUAGCUGGUCUGAGAGGAUGACCAGCCACACUGGGACUGAGACACGGCCCAGACUACUACGGGAGGAAGCAGUGGGGAAUUUUCCGAAAGGGGCGAAAGCCUGACGGAGCAAUACCGCGUGAGGGAAGAAGGCUCUUGGGUUGUAAACCUCUUUUCUUAGGGAAGAACAAAAUGACGGUACCUAAGGAAUCAGCAUCGGCUAACUCCGUG